rnacentral:lncRNA from 1 species
GUGCCACCAGGCCUUACACCAAGAGAGCCAUUCCAGAGAAAAGUCCUUUUUCUCCUGAGAACAGUGCCAGCAGCUGGCUUCGUGACAUUCUGGAAGCCCCGUGCAAUGCUGUCAGGAGCAUAGGGAUUUUACUUUAUCUCCCUUGCUUAUGCUCCACAUAACUGAAAUAUCUCACUGGAAGCUGCAGCAGUGCUGGCCCCUUGCACAGCCAUAUGUGACCACUGCAGAACAAUCAGUUGGAGAGACAGUUUGGACUACAUGGAGGGUGGAGAUAAGGACAAAGUGAAGAAUACACAGGAACCAGUGCCUCCUCCUGGAACUAUGCAACUCCAAGCUGCUUCCAUCAGCUGCUAGGUCCAGUAGGGAGGGACCUACUGAGAGCAUUGCCAGAAAACUCAUUUCUCAGUGACACCAUUGUAAUUACUCAUUUGAUUAUCCCGCAAUACACAUAUAAGAGUCUCAGGAAAACAGUACCAUCAGCAUUAUAUGGUAAUAUCUACAAGCACUUUAAUAUUUUCUUAUUGGGGGUACACUUUUUUCCAUAGAGAAUAUUUUACUAGGUAAGAACAAUAAUAUUGAUAUGUUUUAAUUUUUCUUGAAGUGGUUCUUCUGUAUGAGGUUAUAUCACCAAGUAGAUAUACAGUUAUAAUGUUUGAUUAUUACACAUUGCUUUUCUUAAAAUUUAAUUUUGUUUUAAAGCUAUUAAAAUCAGGUUUCUUAAAGAAAGAUCCUCAUUCUAUCUGGAUCAAAAUCACUUUCAGAGCUAAUUAAAAAUGUGGUGUCCUGGACUCACGAAGCCAGAAUUGCUGAGGAGAUAGCCCGAGAAUCUGAAUUUUUAGCAGACAUUUUUUUAGGUACCUUACCCGCAGGAUCAUUUCUGUGAAUAUCCAUGAGGUGAAAAAGUCUGGGAAACACUGUCCUAGACAGGAAACGCCACGAAGUGUCUGGAUCAAAGAACAGACUAUUGCUCACAGAGCACCUUCAUAGCAUUGUUCCUCAUGCCCCCGUUGCCCAAGGGGAUGGCAGGUUGAGGACCAGAUGUACUUGCAUGUUCAGGGGAUGCAGCACAGAAGAGGAACUCCAAAAUUAUUAUUAUUAUUGUUAUUAUUAUUAUUUUUGAGAUGGAGUCUCGCUCUGUCGCCCAGCCUGGAGUGCAGUGGCGUGAUCUCGGCUCACUGCAAGCUCCGCCUCCCGGGUUCACGCCAUUCUCCUGCCUCAGCCUCCCGAGUAGCUGGGACUACAGGCACGCACCGCCACGCCCUGUUAAUUUUUUUUGUAUUUUUUUUUAGUAGAGACAGGGUUUCACCGUGUUAGCCAGGAUGGUCUUGAUCUCCUGACCUCGUGAUCCACCCGCCUCGGCCUCCCAAAGUGCUGGGAUUACAGGCGUGAGCCACCGCGCCCGGCCGAACUCCAAAAUUAUUAAACUCUGAGCGUCUGCAGGUGACUGACACAUCUGCGCUUCCUUUCUUCCAGGGUGUGGGGAAGAGCGAGAAAAAGAUUUCCGCUCUGGAAGGUAAACAAAUACUCUCUGGAGAGAGAAGAGGAAUGUCCCUAGCAGAUGUCUCCAGAGAAGACAAGACUUUAAAUUCCGCCAGGGAAAUAUACAAUGUCUAACUUCUAAGGCACAUUUGCCAUUCAAUCAUGCUUUAACCCACGUUGCCAGAAAUUUUUGCUCACUAGGUUUUGACUGUACAGGAAUGUGAAAAUAUUCAUGAAGAGUUGUUUUCCAAUGCUAAAGAAUUGAUGUGUUUUAACAGUUGAAUUAAUUGUAUUGAUUAUGAUCACACCUACUUUUUAUAUAUCUUCAUUUCUAACGUUUCUGUACAAUCCUGCCUUUCCACCUGAUAUAGUUAGGCCUUGUGUCAUCAACCAAAUCUCAUCUUGAAUUGUAAUCGCCAUAAUCCCCACGUAUUUAGGGAGAGACCUGGAGGGAGGUGUUUGGAUCAUGGGGGCGGUUUCCCGCAUGCUGUUCUCAUGACCAUGAGAGUAAGUUCUCAAGAGAUCUGAUGGUUUUAUAAGCGUCUGUCAUUUCCACUGCUUGCACUUCUGUGUCCUGCCACCUUGUGAAGAAGGACGUGGUUGCUUCCCCUUCCACCAUGAUUGUGUUUCCUGAGGCCUCCCCAGCCUUGCAGAGCUGUGAGUCAAUUAAACCUCUUUCCUUUAUAAAUUACUCAGUCUCUGUAUUCCUCUGCAGCAGUGUGAGAACAGACUAAUACAUCACCACUUUAUUUACUUUACUCUCUCCCCAUACCGAGGUUUUCUACAUUUUCUUUCUAGGUCUCUACAGUUUCUGCAAAGAUCCUUUAUGGAACUCUUAGGGAAGCUGGGAUGUAUAAUAAAUAAAGGGCUCUUUUCUUUGAGUCCCACACCCAUUUUCUGUGUAUAAAAAUCUUCAACUCCACUUUUGUCUGUUCUAUUUAAAUGUGUGCACAUUUCCUUCUAAUGUUGUAUAUGAAAAAGAGACACCUCUUAGCAGUCUUUCAUAGAGCAAAAUUUUUUACUUUGAUAAAAUCUAAUUUAUCAAUAUUUUUAAAUUUUAUGGAUCAAUCAUGCUUUUGAGGUUGAAUUUAAGAAUGCUUUGCCUAGCCCUAGAUCCCAAGUAUCUUUUAAAAAUUAUUUUUCUAAAUGCAUUAUUUAUGUUUUACACUUAAGUCUAUAAUCCAUUUUGAGUCCAUGUGUAAGAUUUAGGUUAAGGUCAAGAUUUAUCUGUUUUUGUUGUUUUCUCUAUAAAUGUCAAUUGCUCCAGCACUAUUUGUUUAAAAGCCAAUCUUUCCUCCGCUGAGUUCUUCCUAUAAGUUUGUCAAAAGUCAAUUUGGCAUCUUUGUAUAAGUUUAUUUCUGGAUUCUCUAUUCUGUUUUAUUGAUCACUGCAUCUAUCCCUCUUGAUUAGCUAGAUAAUAAAUCCUACAAUAAGGUAGAAUUCUUCCCACUUUAUUCAUAUUCAAAAUAUUUUAAAGCUAUUCUAGUUUCUUUUUAUUUCCAUAUAUAUUUUAGGAUAAUCUUAUCUAUAUUUACAACAUAUGUUGCUAGGAUUUUGAUAGAAUUUGUUUUAAAUUUGUGUAUCAAUGUAGGGAAGACCUGACAUCUUUACUAUUACGUUGAUCUUCCAAUCAAUGAAUAUGGUAUAUCUCUCAGUUUAUAGCUAUUGUCUUUAAUUUAUUUCAUCAUGGUUUUUAGUUUUCAGCAGAGAAGCUUUAUACAUGUUUUGUUAUACAUGUAUAACAAAAGAAGCCUUAUACACUGACAUUUUAUAUUUUGAACAAUUGUAAAUGGUAUUGUUUAAAAAUUUUGUUGUCUAUGAUAGAAAUAAAAUUGAUUUUUGUAGGUUUAUCUUGUAACCUAUGACUUGCUGAGCUCGCUCAUUAGUUUUUUUAUUGUGAUAAAAUAUACAUGAGAUAAAUUUCAUCAUUAUAAUCAUUAAGUUUAGACAUCAAUUGCAUUAAGUACAUAAAUGCCUUAUGCAACCAUCAUCUCUAUCCAUCUCCAGACCCUUUGCAUCACCCUAAAAUGAAACUCUGUGCCCAUUAAACAAUAACUCCCCAUUCUGCCCUCACCCCAGCCCUUGGUAAUUACCAUCCUACCUUUUAUCUCUAUAAAUUUAACCAUCCCAGGUAACUCAUAUAAGUGGAAUCAUGCAGUGUUUGUCCUUUUGUAACUGGUUUAUUUCACUUAGCAUGAUGUCUUCAAGGUUUGCCUAUGUCAUAGCAUGUGUCAGAAUUUCAUCCCUUUUUAAACUUAAAUAAUAUUCCACUGUAGGCAUAUGCCACAUUUUGUUUAUUUGUUCAUCUGUUGAUGGGCAUUUGGGUUGUUUCCACCUUUUGGCUACUGUGAAUAAUGCUGCUGUGAUCAUGGGUAUGCAACUGUCUCCUGGAGUCCCUGCUAUCAAUUCUUGUGGGUAUAUACCCAGAAGUGGAAUUGUUGCAACAUAUAGUAAUUCUAUGUUUAAUUUUUUGAGGACCUGCCAUAAUGUUUUCCACAGUAGCUACAUUGUCUUAUAUUCCCAUUAAGAGUUCCAAUUUCCUCACAUCUUCACCAAUACUUAUUGUUUUCUGUUUUUUUAAAUAAUAGCCAUCAUAAUAAAAGUAACAUGGUAUCUCAUUGUGGUUUUAACUGCAUUUCCCUUUUUACUGGAUUGUUUGUAAUAUUGCUGUAAUUGAGUUGUAGGAGUUUUUAAAUAUGUUCUGAAUAAUUAAUUUCUUAUCAGAUAUGUCAUUUGCAAAUAUUUUCUGCCAUUCUCUGGGUUGUCAUUUCACUCUCUUGAUAGUGUCCUUUGAUGCACAGAAGUUUUGAAAUUUGAUAAAGUUUAAUUUGCGUAUGUAUUUAUUUUGUUGCUUAUGCUUUUGGUGUCAUAUCCAAGAAAUUAUUGCCAAAUUCAGUGUCAUGAAGAUUUUCCCCUGUGUUUUCCUCUAAGAGUAUUAUAGUUUUAACUCUUGCACUUAGAUUGAUCCGCUUUGAGUUAAUUUUAGUAUAUGGGGUAAGACAAGGGCUCAAAUUUGUUCUUUUGUUUGAAGAUUCUAGGUCAUUUGUGAUCUUUAGGAUUUUCUAUGUAGACAUUAAUGUCAUCUUCAAAUAUGAACAGUUUAUUUCUUCCUUUUGUAUAUGUAUGAAUUUACUUUCCUUUUCUUGCCUUAUUGCACUGGCUAGAGUUUUCAGUACUAUGAUGAAUAAAAUCAGUGAGAGCAGACACCCUUGCUUUGUUUCUAAUCUUAGGAGGAAAGCUUUCAGUCUUUCAUCAUUAGGUAUACUGUUAGUUGUAGGCUUAUUAUAGAUGCUCUUUAUCAGGUUGAGGCAGUUUCCUCCUUGGUUAAGACUUUCUAUUUUUCAUUUUCAGUUAUGACCAGGCAUGUUCAUAACUGCUCAUCAAAACUUUGAAUUAGUGGCUGCUUUAACAUCCUUCUCAGACAAUUCUAACAUCUGUUUUGUUGGUGGUGGCAUCUAUCAAUUGUCUUUUUCAUUCUGUUUGAGAUCUUCCUUGCGUUUGGUAUGAUUUUUUUAAAUAUUAUGUCAUGAAACUGCAUCUUAUUUAAAUCUUCUGUUUUAGUUGGCUAUGUCUGACAUCACUUCCCCAGGGGAAGGUGUUGUUACUGCUAGUGGAGGGUGAGAAUUAUGGCUCUCCACUGACAUUGUGGUGGGAUUGGUCCCAUUACCACUGGGCAGGGUUGAAAGUCCUGACUUUCUGCUAGGCCUUCUCUGACUUCAUCGCAGCAGGAGGAAAAGAUGCCUCUGGAGUUGAAGUCAGGUUGCACUGACACUGUGUGUGUAUGGAGGUAGGCUGGGGUGAAAGUGGAGACUCAUUACCACAUGGUGAGUAGUUUCCAGCUCUCUAUUUGGCCUUCUCUGAUACCACCCAGACAGGGACAUUGGGGAUACCUCAUUACAGCCUAGUGAGGGUCAAACUCUAGGCUCCCCACUCAGUCUUUGCUAUCAUGGACACUGUAGGACCAUAGUUUUUUCUGUGCUGUUUGCUUGAUGUGUCUUCCUUGGACCCUGAGUUCCAUAGCUGGUCUGCAUUCCUCUCUCCACCUUUAAGACGUCUUCUUAUGUUUAUUUCAUAUUUAACAUCCAGGGUGGUAAUUAGAGGGAAGAAUAGAGGGAAAAGUACAGUUGCACUUUGUUGUUCAAAGAGCAGUUUUGAACUGCACAGACCCAUUUCUCUGAGCACACCCAGGGAUGAUUGUACUUGUAUAAAAUUUUUUUCCUGGAUGCAGAAUUCUCAAUUGACUGUGAAAGUUCAUAACAAAGAAAACAGUGGGGAAGACAAAUCUGGAAAUGAGGAAAAUAAAAAUUAAAUAGUGAGACCACCCAUGGAGCUUGUGGCAAAGCCUGAAUUGAAUCCGCUGUAUCUUAAGAUUGUGCCUCAUUCUAAAUUUAAGUCACCCUUCUCAUUAUGAAAGUGUCACAACUUCUCAGUAGGUGAGGAGACAGUCUAAAUUUGAGAAAAGAAAGUUACAACAAAGGUUUUGAGCAAGCUGCUAAGUGGAUUUAUUCAUGUUUGAGAAAUCAAAUAUAUGGUUAAUGAGCUCUUUAACUAGAAGCCAACACUAGGGAGGAGUAGACAGAAGUCACGGGGAGGGAGCCCCCGGACAUUUCAAAAGACUUUGCCCUGCAACAUCUCCUCCACAUUUAAGCUUUUAGGUUAUUGUAGCCACAUCACAAGCAUGUUACCUACCCAGAUAUUGUCUGCGCAUCAUUCCCAAAAGCUUCCCUGGGUCUUCAUAAUAUUAAUGAGAUUCUCCCCCAGGUUAGACCCCUUUGGCUUGAGUCAGAAACAGAAUUAAUCCGGGGGACAAUCCAGCAGCACCCAUCUCUGGGUUGCAGAAAUAUCUGAGGUGACCAGGCAGUGUUUGGAGUCCCCUCAGUUAGCUAACAAAGUGAGUUCACAGCUUCCAAGACCCCAGGCUUUCCAGGCUAAUAAAGAGCUGAGGUUAUAGGCUCUCCUUAUCAAACGCUCUUUGGCAGCUGCCAUAACCAUUCCAAGUCUAGUCCUAGAAUAGAAAUGACGCGGUUUCAGGAGCUGACAGAUGGAACUUUAAGCCUUCCUUCCUGCCACAUCUGAAGUUCUUUUUUAAAAAAAUAGAAAACCAUGACAAUAAACACUCCUUGAAUGCCCUGUGGAAAAGUGUACUCCUCAGAAUUCACUAAAGUGGGGUGAAGCAGUGGGUUGUGGUGCUGAGAAAACAUCUCUUCCCCUCGGCAGUAUAUUGGAAUCUCAUAGAAACUUCUGUGGCUGGGAAGCAAACAUGCUCUCUGCCCCAUUGCUCUUAUUCAUCUUUAGACCUGAUAAUACAGUUUGAACUUCAAGUUGCACUUUAAAUGGCAUGCAUUUUUA